rnacentral:rRNA from 1 species
AGAACGAACGCUGGCGGCGUGCUUAACACAUGCAAGUCCAACGUGAAAGGGGAGCAAUCCCCCGGUAGGGUGGCGAACGGGUGAGUAAUACAUGGGAAUCUGUCCUGGAGAUGGGGGAUAACGUAGGGAAACUUACGCUAAUACCGCAUACGACCGAGAGGUGAAAGCGGGGGAUCGUAAGACCUCGCGCUGGUGGAUGAGCCUACGUCCGAUUAGUUAGUUGGUGGGGUAAAGGCCUACCAAGGCGACGAUCGGUAGCUGGUCUGAGAGGAUGAUCAGCCACACUGGGACUGAGACACGGCCCAGACUCCUACGGGAGGCAGC